GGGGAUGCCAUGGCUUCGACGGGGGAGGCUGGAUCCGGAUUGCGAGUCGAGAGGCGCCCGAUCUCGUAAAAUCAGCGCAAAAAAUUAAGUGCCAACAAUCGCACUUCCUACGCUGCAAUGCCGUUAGCCGCUUAAGCGACCGGCGUUCAGCCUGACCUUUUCAGGUCACGUCCGCCCGAAUCGUAUCCUGACCGAUCGCGGAGCGGGCGCCAUAAUGUCAGGAUGCUGACCGCGAAUUCACGGCGCGGGACAAAAGAGGACUUUCGGGUCUGAGUGAAUCGCUUCCGUCGAGUGCGUUCCGUCUCUCGAUGAUAAGCUAAAAUGAAACGGAAAUACGCUCGUAGUAUAUUCGAGGUUCGAUUCUUUCGGACGCGGGUUCGACUCCCGCCAUCUCCACUC
rnacentral:tmRNA from 1 species